UUUGCGGCUUAGUUGAGAUAGUAUUUCGGGUUUCGGACUCGGUUGGAACGAGGGAACGAAAAAUAAAAAAAUUAAUAAUCGCGCAUUCUCUCUCUCUCUCUCUCUGUACUUCUAUCUUCUCUGAAAUUUCUCCGUCGAUCUUCUUCUUUCUUCGUUCGAUCUGUAAAUUUUCGUCGAUCUUCUUCUUCGUUCGAUCUGUAAAUCUCCGGCGAUCUUCUUCUUCUUCGAUCGGCUCAGGUAAAAUUCUAACUCAAUUAACUCUUACUUUAGGUUAAAAUGUUUGAAUUUGAUAUGUUUUCUAAUAAUUUUGUUCUAAUUAAUUUAUUUUCAUCGAACUAAAGACCUAGAUUUUCGCUACGGAAUUGAGGGUUAAAUUUGCUAAACAGUGAUGGAUUCAUCUCUCUUCCUUUGAUCUGGAUUGCUUAGUAAGUUCAUCUCUCUUCGAAUUUUGGAUCUCAUGCUCUCUAAUCUGCUCUUUAGAUCGAUUAGCAGUAGUGAUGAAUUCUGAUAAUGUGUUCAAUUUGUAUGUUUUAGGUCUAAAUUUGGUUCUUAAGCUUCCAAAUUAUUUCAAUUAGUUUAUUUAAGUAAUGAAUUCUGAUAAUGUGUUCAAUUUGUAUGUUUUCGCUACGGAAUAGAGUAGUUUGUUUAAGUGAGAUAGAGCCAUGGCUAUUUUUUCCAUUUAAGCUACUGGUUGCUAUAUGUUUAAAGAUGCAUAUUUCAUGUUAUAUAAAUGAUGAUGUAUAUCGUACAUCAUUAUCUGCACACCUAUUAUGACAUCCAUGAAAAGAUUACUUGGUACACAAUUACUACCAAAAAAGCUAAAUAGAUCAUAGACCAGGAACAUCACAGUAUUUACUCUCGAUUCCUACUUAGCCUGAGAAAAAUACUAGAAACUUCCCUACACAUUUUUAUAACUACUAAUGGCUAAAAAAAAUUUAAAAGAAAACAUAUUCUUUUCCCAAUGUGUUUUCUUCUUCAGUUUGUGGUUGAGCCUUGAGGAGGUAAAAGAAACACCAGGAACAAAUACACUCCUUGAUCAUGUCCUCUUCAAAAUAUAACCUAGAAGAAUCCCCAACAAGCCAAUGAUCACAGCAUACAAAAACUGGACACCGCCACGGCUUCUACUAGCUUCACUCCUCAUAAGAUAAGACUUACCUUGCUAGCAUAUACAUUUCAGAUAAUUCAAGAAGCAGAUAAACUAUCCUUUUUCGUCUGACAUACUUCUUCUUGAUUUGUGAUAGAGAAAAUUCUUCCCAUGUAGUAUUGUCGUGGAAUCUCAGCAACAAACUAUCCUUUUCCUCUCUGCAAAAUAUUAUUUUGAAUUAGAAACCUCUCUGGUCAAAUUCUAUCAACCAUAGGUUAUGUUCCGUACUACUCCAGUCAUAUUAUGUUUUCUUUUUCUCAGUUUCAAAGUUCAGGAGUUCAAAUUUUCCUGCUGGUUUCCCAUUAUCUGUAUUCAUUUCAAAGUACUAUAAUAUGAAAAGGUUACUUUCAAAAUAAGAAUUUCACAAUUCGACAAGGUGAUCGACCAACUGAAUUGUUAUAUCAAAGAAAACAAAACUUAAAGAUUUGACUUUGAAUUUAAUAAUGUAAAAAAUCCAAAAAGAGUGGCAGAGUUAUUUUUUUUUAUCUUACUUUGUCUUCUCCAUCAUAAUAUGUGUUCAACAUGCUUAGCUUACAGUACAACAUAAUUGACAUGCAGCUGUGAUCAUAUUGGCUAAUUAUCCUUAAAUAUAAAGAUUCUUUUUAUAUUUUUUCCUUGUUUUUCUCCUAUUAUUUCUCUUUCCAAAAAUCUCUUCUUAAUUCAUAUUCUUCAUUGAAUAAACCGGUUAAAACCUUAACAAGUUUUAAGUUCUAUACGUGGCAGAAUACUAUGAGGAAGUAAGCUUUGAGCGUCACUUCCGCAGUGACGCUAGCAUUUCUCCUAAAAAUACUGCUUAAGUUACAUUUCUGGCACUGAAAUGCUUGGAUAUUGACCACCAUGUUCAGGCAAAUAAUUAAAUGAUAUUUGACCCGUUUCUUUGAUGCCUUGGUACCUGCCUAGCAUUAGUAAGGUUGCAAAAUUUUCUUAGCUCCUCUUCUGUAGACAGCUUUGCAUUCUCAUUUUGUUGGUUGCCCACAUACAAUUUGAUUAAAUUGGAUUGUGAUAUUUUCUCAAGCAAGUGACCCAUCCUCACACAUUGAUCGAAGUCUUUUUGUUCCAAUAAAUAGUUGAAUCUUACUGAAGGAUUUUUUCUGGGAUCUGUAUUCUUUAGUUAGAUUUCAAUUUAUUUUUCUUUCUAUUGUAACAGGAUUGAGACGGGGAACGGUGUUGUGCUUUCUACUUUCCAUUUCACAACGCAACUACUUCCAUUUGAAGUAAUUUCAUUCAUCAUUCAUUUGCAUAUUGUGAUUAUAACUGGCAUUAAUCUGUUGUAUGUUGUGAAAGUGGUGCUUAAUGAACUUCUUUUAAAAAACUCAUUUUUAUUGUAUUAAACCAGCUAAACAACCAAAGCUUUCUAGCAGUUGUAGGAACCUGUAGCUUUAUUUAGACCUACCAAACUUAUAAAUUGUGUCUGAUAUUAAAUCUUUUUUCUGGAGUUGGAUAUUUCUUUUGGCCAACUGUGAGCUUUGACGACUUCAUGUGAUAGGAGAACUUAAUCUUUUUCUGUAAAUUGAUAUGGAUGCAGUUUGUGAAUGGCUCGUAUGACCAUCUUUCAAACUCUUUGAUGGGUGAUUUCAAUUUGAUUGUGCAGGUUACCUUGUGAGAAUGGUGAUCUUCUAGGUGAUGAUGAGGUUAGCUUGGGAUUAGAUGUUUGUUGUCAUCAUUCCAGGGUUAUUGUUGAACAUUUUAAUUUUUAGAAUAGUGAAGCAUUUGAACGAUGUAAAACUUUAUGAUAAACAUUUUUAUUUUUGAAAGUGAUGUAAUUUGUACAUGAAUUUGGAUGUUAAUAAAAUUUCAAUUUUCUAUGUUCUUAAAAUU
rnacentral:lncRNA from 1 species